rnacentral:rRNA from 1 species
CACGUAGGGCGCAAGCGUUGUCCGGAAUUAUUGGGCGUAAAGAGCUCGUAGGCGGUCUGUUGCGUCCGCUGUGAAAACUCGGGGCUUAACCCCGAGCCUGCAGUGGAUACGGGCAGACUAGAGGUAGGUAGGGGAGAAUGGAAUUCCCGGUGUAGCGGUGAAAUGCGCAGAUAUCGGGAGGAACACCGGUGGCGAAGGCGGUUCUCUGGGCCUUACCUGACGCUGAGGAACGAAAGCGUGGGAGCGAACAGG